AGUGGCGCACGGGUGAGUAACGCGUGGAUUAUCUACCUAUUGGUACGGGACAACAGUUGGAAACGACUGCUAAUACCGUAUAAGCUGGAAACGGGAAAGGGGGCCUCUUCUUGAAAGCUCUCGCCAGUAGAUGAGUCCGCGUUUCAUUAACUAGACGGUGGGGUAACGGCCUACCGUGGCAACGAUGAAUAGCAGGCCUGAGAGGGUGGCCUGCCACACUGGGACUGGAACACGGCCCAGACUCCUACGGGAGGCAGCAGUGGGGAAUAUUGCGCAAUGGACGAAAGUCUGACGCAGCGACGCCGCGUGGAGGAUGAAGGUUUUCGGAUCGUAAACUCCUGUCAAGAGGGAAGAACACUAUUAAGAUUAAUACUCUUAGUAAUUGACGGUACCUCUAGAGGAAGCACCGGCUAAUUCAGUGCCAGCAGCCGCGGUAAUACUGAAGGUGCAAGCGUUAAUCGGAAUCACUGGGCGUAAAGCGCUCGUAGGUGGCUUUGUAAGUCAGGUGUGAAAGCCCACGGCUCAACCGUGGAAUUGCACUUGAUACUGCAUCGCUAGAGUAUAGGAGAGGGAAGUGGAAUUUCUGGUGUAGGAGUGAAAUCCGUAGAGAUCAGAAGGAACACCCGUGAAGAAAGCGACUUCCUGGACUAUUACUGACACUGAGGAGCGAAAGCGUGGGGAGCAAACAGGAUUAGAUACCCUGUAGUCCACGCCGUAAACGAUGGUACUAGGUGUUGGGGCUUGACCCUCGGUGCCGUAGUUAACGCGUUAAGUACCCCG
rnacentral:rRNA from 1 species